rnacentral:tRNA from 2 species
GCGGCUAUAGUGUAGCCCGGUCAGCAUUCGGGACUGUCACUCCUGACCGUUAUGUAAUCUUUCGAACGGGGAGAACGACGCGGGUUCAAAUCCCGCUAGCCGCGCCA